rnacentral:rRNA from 2 species
GUGCAGCAGGCGCGAAAACUUUACAAUGCGGGAAACCGUGAUAAGGGGACACCGAGUGCCAGCAUCAUAUGCUGGCUGUCCGGAUGUGUAAAAUACAUCCGUUAGCAAGGGCCGGGCAAGACCGGUGCCAGCCGCCGCGGUAACACCGGCGGCCCGAGUGGUGAUCGUGAUUAUUGGGUCUAAAGGGUCCGUAGCCGGUUUGGUCAGUCCUCCGGGAAAUCUGAUAGCUCAACUAUUAGGCUUUCGGGGGAUACUGCCAGACUUGGAACCGGGAGAGGUAAGAGGUACUACAGGGGUAGGAGUGAAAUCUUGUAAUCCCUGUGGGACCACCUGUGGCGAAGGCGUCUUACCAGAACGGGUUCGACGGUGAGGGACGAAAGCUGGGGGCACGAACCGGAUUAGAUACCCGGGUAGUCC